rnacentral:lncRNA from 1 species
CUUAUUGCUUCUUGCUACUAGAAGCUACCUUCUUCCUCCUACUAUUUAGACAGCAGCCAGCACACUGGGAGAUGCUAUGUAUAGGACAGCUGUAUCAAAUACACCAAAAGUGAUGGGAAAUCACUUCUGAGAGAAACUGUGAAAAGGCCUCUGACUGAAUCUUGCUCGUCCUCUAUACUCACCCUGAGGAAGCCAGCUGCCGUCUUGCUAAUUGCCCUGAAAGGUCCACAUGGGAAUGAACUGAAGGGAGGCCACCAGCCAGAAGUAAGCAAAGAAUGGAGGCCCUCAAAGUCUACUGGCAGUUGAAUCCUGCCAGCAAGCAUGAUGGUGAGCUUGGAAAUGAAUUCUCCACCUCCCCGAAUCCAGCCUUCAGACAGGACUACAGCUCUGUCUGACUGCCCAGAACCUUGAUUGCAGGAUUGUGAGAGAUUUUGAAGCAGAUGCACUCAGCUAACCAGUGCCUGGAUUGCUGCCCCACAGAAACUCUGGAAGACUUGCUAUCCUAAGAGCUGGUAUGGCAGAUGGCAUUGAGAACACCAGUAGCGGGCUCCGGUCGUCAGGCUGUGCAGAGAGGGAAGAACAGAGGACCACGAGCCUCAGGAAACUUCCCACCACCAGCAAAUUGCGUGAGAUGAACCCAAUCUUCAGCCUCAUCUUCCUCCGGCAGUGAGAGACACACAGCCGCCGGGCACAGCCUUCGCCAGGGCUCUCCCCACCCUCCUUCCCCCUCCGGCUGGCUCUCUCUCCUCCGCC